UACAGAGGUCUCAACCGUUGUUCGGAUUCAUUGGGCGUAAAGGGCUCGUAGGCGGUUUGUCGCGUCGGGAGUGAAAACCUCGGGCUUAACUCGGGGCUUGCUUUCGAUACGGGCAGACUAGAGGUAUGCAGGGGAGAACGGAAUUCCUGGUGUAGCGGUGAAAUGCGCAGAUAUCAGGAGGAACACCGGUGGCGAAGGCGGUUCUCUGGGCAUGAUCUGACGCUGAGGAGCGAAAGUGUGGGGAGCGAACAGG
rnacentral:rRNA from 1 species